AGGAAUAGAGUGCACUUCGCUCACUUUCUGCCUGGUCUGCUGAGGCCUGCCCUUCCUGUUUAUGGGCUCAGUGAUUCCACAAAGAUGAACAGAUUUGUACACAAGGAGAUGUUUGUGGACAAAUCUUCCUGCUAUUUACUGAGCUCCACCAGCUGGGCUACAAACACUCCUCAGUGGAUAAGCCAAAACUCUCCAAAGAAGGGACCUAAAUGACUUCAUUGCUGACCACCACAGGGAUGGACUCAGAAGAACUGGAAUUGAAAACUACUCUGACCAGCCUUGGUGAGUUCAUUAUUGAAGCAAUGACACUGGUGCUGUGAGCUCAGAAUGAUGUGAAAGCCUGGCUUUGGCAAGCAGGACAGCUUGACUUGUAUCUUGGUAAAGCAGGAUCCUCUUGACUCUUUCUGCCUUUGUCCAAGGUUU